rnacentral:rRNA from 1 species
UACAGAGGGUGCGAGCGUUAAUCGGAAUUACUGGGCGUAAAGCGCGCGUAGGCGGCUUUGCAAGUCGGGUGUGAAAUCCCCAGGCUUAACCUGGGAACUGCAUUCGAGACUGCAUUGCUAGAGUAUGGGAGAGGGAAGUGGAAUUUCCGGUGUAGCGGUGAAAUGCGUAGAUAUCGGAAGGAACACCAGUGGCGAAAGCGGCUUCCUGGUCCAGCACCGACGUCAGGCACGAAAGCGUGGGGAGCAAACAGGG